UAGGUGGAGGGGGCGUGGGGGGAUGAGGUCAGACUUGGACCUGGUGAGCUGGAGGUGGUGGCAGGCCAGCCAGGGGAGAGAAUACGAUAAUCAACAGCUAGCUACGGUCCCGAGAUGGUGCAGGGGAUGCCAGACACUGUGCUAGGCACUUUUCUCAGAUGAUUUAUGUCACCCUCACGAUAAACCCAUGAGGAUCCACAGGGUGUGUGCCAGAGGGGGGCUGACCUGCCUGCCCCUAGGGCACCCCUGGGCCUACCUUGUCCAGGAGCUUGUCCAUCUCUUCCUUCCUCGCCAGCUCUGACUCCUCUAGAACCCGGCGCUGUGCCGUCUCCUUUUUCAGGAACUCAAUCUCCCUGGGUACCAGUGGGAGACAGACAGUGGGCUCUGCAGCUGAGAGGAAGAAACACCCCUGGGUUGGCGGGGGCCAGAGUCGCUGGAUGAUUCCCGCAGAUACGGAGCCCACUGCCCCCCAGCUACUGACUCUCCUUGGCUGGGCCUGAGAACCGAAUGCUGGAGAGGGACGAGGUGGGACCACAACCUCAGCCUUCCCAGCCAGGGGCCCUGACACGUGCCACACUCCUAGAAGGCCGGAGGCCCAGGAUCAUCGCUGAUUAGCUCGGGGCCUUGGGAUGUCACGUGUGUGCACCAACUGGUAGCAUCAGCAUCUCUGUGAGAAUGCGCACGUCCUGUGACACUCUUCUUGUGUCUCACAGCGGACGGACACAGCAGACGGACACAGAGGUAUUGCCAUGUGAAGCAUGGGUCCGUUGUCCCCGUGUUAUGUCUGAGCAGAGUGGGUGUCUCUAGGUGUCUGGGUGAGUGAGUCUGUGGGUACCACGUGCCUGGACCCCUGGAUGGUUUACGUUUACCGCUGGGCUUGUGUGUAGAGGACACGUGUGGGACUGCGUGAACGUGAAGACAUCCACGUUCAGCUGUUAGAAUGCUGACGGCUAACAGCACAACUUUUUACUGAGCACCUACUAUGUGUCAGACACUGUACUAAGGACUUUACGCGUAUUAUUCUAUUUUAUCCUCACAGUGAUCCUACGGUGUUGGCACUGUUAUCAACCCGUUUUACAGGUGAGGAGAAUGAGACCCAGAGCAGCAAGUGAGUGGUGGAGAGAUGGGUCCAGAGCUUGUGCUCUUAACGCUACCCUCCCUCACCUCAGAGCGGCUGGUUCUGCACGCACCUGUGGGUGGAGGGCAAGGGCCAGCGUGUGCAGUGUGAGGGUGGAGGGGUCGUUCCCCCAGCGCCCCACCCCCACUCCCCGCCGCUCUUACCUUUCUUUUCAGCUGCUGGAUCUCCGCCUCGGUCACGGCAUGCUUGAUCUGGAGCUGUGGGGGCAGGGGCACAGGCACUCAGCUCGGGCUGGGGCAGGCAGUACUGCGGGGCUGGAUACCAGCCUGCCCUUGCCUUCCACCAGCCCAGGGACCCCUCUGCCCACCUCCUUGAACUUGUGCACCAGCUUCUCAGGCUCCAUGUCCACAGGGGACAAGGCAUCCUCGUUCUCUGCCAGCUCGAACACCUCGAUGGCCAUCUCGCCACCUGGAAACGUGGGGCUCAGCUCCUCAUCCUCGUCAGUGGCGUAUUCUCCUGUCUGCGAAGGGAGACAGGCGGCUGUGCACCCUGCCCACCACAACCUCCCUCAGCCCUGAGGACUGGGGCCUAGGCCAGCAGCAGUCUGCCCAUGUCAGACUGGGGGCCACCCAGGGGUGUGGUUCACGCUGCCCUCAGCAGACUGGGGGUCACCCAGGGGCAUGGUUUGUGUCUACCCCCAACAGCCUGGAGAGUCCCCAGAAGACAGGGGUAAUUCCCCUGUGAGACUGAGGGCCCUGAAGAAACAGCCUCUGCUUUCCCCCUCACACAGCAGGUCCCCUGAGGUCUGGAACUGUCUCCUUCCUCAGACUAGGUCCCCUCAGAGUGGGGGCUCUUAGAGGGAACUACGUUUUUCUUGUAGGACCAGGAAGGCUUUCUGAAGACAGAGGGUGUGACUCUUCCAUCAGACUAGAGGUUCUUUAAGGGAAAGGUCUGCAUCGCCUCCCUCAGACUGGGGGCUCCCCCAGGAUAGGAGCGUUGCUCUGGGGUUCUUCACAAGGCCUGGAAAGUGGCAGAGGCAGAGGACGGCUAUAAUACUCCAUCAAGCCACCAGGGGGCGAUGACGCUGCCAGCCAGGCGGAGUCCCUACCUCCUCGUCAUCCUCCCCGUACUGGGCGUAUCUCUGCUCCAUCAUCUCCCGCUGCCAUCGCUCCUGUUCCAGGGUCUGCUGAAUUAGCUGGGCCACCUCACUCUGCUCACCCGGCCGCUCCCGGCCAAUCAUAAAUCUGCGGAGGCACCAGCAUCGUUCCCUUUGUCUCUGUCCUUGGCCGGAAAAUGCCACCAUCCUCCCCGCUGGUAUUCCCCUCUCCGCAUCCAGGUCCUCCCAGGGAGGUGAAAUGAAAGAACUGA